UACGGAGGGUGCGAGCGUUGUCCGGAAUCACUGGGCGGAAAGGGCGCGUAGGCGGCGCGGGUAGUCAUCGGUGAAAGUUCAGGGCUCAACUCUGAAUCGGCCGGUGAUACUCCCGUGCUCGAGCACUGUAGAGGCAGGUGGAAUUCCGGGUGUAGCGGUGGAAUGCGUAGAGAUCCGGAAGAACACCGGUGGCGAAGGCGGUUCUCUGGGCAUGUCCUGACGCUGAGGAGCGAAAGUGUGGGGAGCGAACAGG
rnacentral:rRNA from 1 species